UGUGGGCUGGCCUGCCUAGCAUGUAGCUGGAACUCCCUUCUAUGGAUUCUGACAUACAGAGUUGCUGGGGCUUUCAGAGAGAUGAACCAUGGAGAGAUCGUUCCACGUUAAAGAGUCUGGGUUCACGUCCACCAAUAGCACAAUGAGCCCCAGAUUUGCAGAGUGCCCGGACUAUGGUUGUCCUGUGAAUAGUUUCCCUCAUCUCACCUGUGGAGCUCUCCAGCUCCUUCAGAGUAACAAUUUGCACUCUUGGAUGCUUCACGGACUAAUGCCCAGCUUAGGCAGUCCCUGAUUUUUGGUGGAUGGCCUGUGUUCUCAUAUUCUCAUGUAUUCUCAUAUUCCAGUAGUUUUAAUGGUGCUCUGUGGGUGUUUAAAGUUUGGCAUAUUUGCAAAAAAUAAAUAAACCCUGAUUCAUAUUUUUCCAGAAA